rnacentral:rRNA from 1 species
GACGAACGCUGGCGGCGUGCUUAACACAUGCAAGUCGAACGAUGAACCCGGAGCUUGCUCCGGCGGAUUAGUGGCGAACGGGUGAGUAACACGUGAGUAACCUGCCCUUGACUCUGGGAUAACUGCUAGAAAUGGUAGCUAAUACCGGAUACGACCCUCGGCGGCAUCGCCAGGGGGUGGAAAGAAUUUCGGUCAAGGAUGGACUCGCGGCCUAUCAGCUAGUUGGUGAGGUAAAGGCUCACCAAGGCGACGACGGGUAGCCGGCCUGAGAGGGUGACCGGCCACACUGGGACUGAGACACGGCCCAGACUCCUACGGGAGGCAGCAGUGGGGAAUAUUGCACAAUGGGCGCAAGCCUGAUGCAGCAACGCCGCGUGAGGGAUGACGGCC